GACGAACGCUGGCGGCGUGCUUAACACAUGCGAGUCGAACGGAAAGGCCCUGCUUUUGUGGGGUGCUCGAGUGGCGAACGGGUGAGUAACACGUGAGUAACCUGCCCUUGACUUUGGGAUAACUUCAGGAAACUGGGGCUAAUACCGGAUAGGAGCUCCUGCUGCAUGGUGGGGGUUGGAAAGUUUCGGCGGUUGGGGAUGGACUCGCGGCUUAUCAGCUUGUUGGUGGGGUAGUGGCUUACCAAGGCUUUGACGGGUAGCCGGCCUGAGAGGGUGACCGGCCACAUUGGGACUGAGAUACGGCCCAGACUCCUACGGGAGGGAGCAGUGGGGAAUAUUGCACAAUGGGCGGAAGCCUGAUGCAGCAACGCCGCGUGCGGGAUGACGGCCUUCGGGUUGUAAACCGCUUUCGCCUGUGACGAAGCGUGAGUGACGGUAAUGGGCAAAGAAGCACCGGCUAAAUAAGUG
rnacentral:rRNA from 1 species